rnacentral:rRNA from 1 species
CAGUCGCCGCGGGAAUACGUAGGUGGCAAGCGUUGUCCGGAAUUAUUGGGCGUAAAGGGCUCGCAGGCGGUUUCUUAAGUCUGAUGUGAAAGCCCCCGGCUCAACCGGGGAGGGUCGUUGGAAACUGGGAAACUUGAGUGCAGAAGAGGAGAGUGGAAUUCCACGUGUAGCGGUGAAAUGCGUAGAGAUGUGGAGGAACACCGGUGGCGAAGGCGACUCUCUGGUCUGUAACUGACGCUGAGGAGCGAAAGCGUGGGGAGCGAACAGGAUUAGAUACCCGCGUAGUCCCUGUCUCUUAUAC